UACGGAGGGUGCAAGCGUUAUCCGGAAUCAUUGGGUUUAAAGGGUCCGCAGGCGGGAAGAUAAGUCAGUGGUGAAAUCUCACAGCUCAACUGUGAAACUGCCAUUGAUACUGUCAUUCUUGAAUUCGAUCGAAGUGGGCGGAAUGUGACAUGUAGCGGUGAAAUGCUUAGAUAUGUCACAGAACACCGAUAGCGAAGGCAGCUCACUAGGUCUGGAUUGACGCUCAGGGACGAAAGCGUGGGGAGCAAACAGG
rnacentral:rRNA from 1 species